AAGACAUUGUGUCUUCGAGUCGUUGAUUUCACACUGCCGAGAAAAGCCUCUAGAUAGAAAAUAGGUGCCCGUACCGCAAACCGACACAGGUAGUCAAGAUGAGAAUUCUAAGGUGAGCGAGCGAACUCUCGUUAAGGAACUCGGCAAAAUGACCCCGUAACUUCGGGAGAAGGGGUGCUCUUUAGGGUUAACGCCCAGAAGAGCCGCAGUGAAUAGGCCCAAGCGACUGUUUAUCAAAAACACAGGUCUCUGCUAAACCGUAAGGUGAUGUAUAGGGGCUGACGCCUGCCCGGUGCUGGAAGGUUAAGAGGAGUGGUUAGCUUCUGCGAAGCUACGAAUCGAAGCCCCAGUAAACGGCGGCCGUAACUAUAACGGUCCUAAGGUAGCGAAAUUCCUUGUCGGGUAAGUUCCGACCCGCACGAAAGGCGUAACGAUUUGGGCACUGUCUCAACGAGAGACUCGGUGAAAUCAUAGUACCUGUGAAGAUGCAGGUUACCCGCGACAGGACGGAAAGACCCCGUGGAGCUUUACUGUAGCCUGAUAUUGAAAUUCGGCACAGCUUGUACAGGAUAGGUAGGAGCCUUUGAAACGUGAGCGCUAGCUUACGUGGAGGCGCUGGUGGGAUACUACCCUAGCUGUGUUGGCUUUCUAACCCGCACCACUUAUCGUGGUGGGAGACAGUGUCAGGCGGGCAGUUUGACUGGGGCGGUCGCCUCCUAAAAGGUAACGGAGGCGCUCAAAGGUUCCCUCAGAAUGGUUGGAAAUCAUUCAUAGAGUGUAAAGGCAUAAGGGAGCUUGACUGCGAGACCUACAAGUCGAGCAGGGUCGAAAGACGGACUUAGUGAUCCGGUGGUUCCGCAUGGAAGGGCCAUCGCUCAACGGAUAAAAGCUACCCCGGGGAUAACAGGCUUAUCUCCCCCAAGAGUUCACAUCGACGGGGAGGUUUGGCACCUCGAUGUCGGCUC
rnacentral:rRNA from 1 species